rnacentral:rRNA from 1 species
UACGAAGGGGGCUAGCGUUGCUCGGAAUCACUGGGCGUAAAGCGCACGUAGGCGGACUCUUAAGUCGGUGGUGAAAUCCUGGAGCUCAACUCCAGAACUGCCUUCGAUACUGAGAGUCUCGAGUCCGGGAGAGGUGAGUGGAACUGCGAGUGUAGAGGUGAAAUUCGUAGAUAUUCGCAAGAACACCAGUGGCGAAGGCGAGUCCCUGGACAACACCUGACACUGAGGCACGAAAGCUAGGGGAGCAAACAGG